UACAGAGGGGGCAAGCGUUAUUCGGAAUUAUUGGGCGUAAAGGGCGCGUAGGCGGCUUUGCAAGUGACGGGUGAAAUCCCUCGGCUUAACCGAGGAACUGCCUGUCAGACUGCAUGGCUUGAGACCGGGAGAGGUGAGUGGAAUUCCCAGUGUAGCGGUGAAAUGCGCAGAUAUCAAGGAAGAACACCAAUGGCGAAGGCAGCUCUCUGGGACGG
rnacentral:rRNA from 1 species